UACAGAGGGUGCAAGCGUUGUUCGGAAUUAUUGGGCGUAAAGGGCGCGUAGGCGGUGCUGUAAGUCUGUAGUGAAAUCUCUGGGCUCAACUCAGAGUCUGCUAUAGAAACUGCAGUGCUGGAGUGUGGGAGAGGUGAGUGGAAUUCCCGGUGUAGCGGUGAAAUGCGUAGAUAUCGGGAGGAGCACCUGUGGCGAAAGCGGCGCACUGGACCACAACUGACGCUGAGGCGCGAAAGCUAGGGGAGCAAACAGG
rnacentral:rRNA from 1 species